CAUAUUUGGUGAGCAACAUGGGAUCUUCAAGAUGUUUCAUCGUCAGCAUGACACUCUUGUUAGCCCUCUUCAUCAUAAAUUCAGAUUUGUGCAUCAUAAAGGCAGAAGCAAGAGGAAUCAUUUAUCGAUUACCAUGUGAUAACAAUAAACAGUGCCAAGAUGGGUGCAAAAAUCCAAAUUGUGGAUGUUCAUCGAUAUGCAUUGAACAUGUCUGUCAAUGUCCACAUGAUCUAACUUCUAUUGAUACUGUCAAAUCAUCCCACCAAACACCAGCACCACACCACCCUCAACCACCACACCAAGCACCAUCACCACACCAUCAUAGCCCACCACACCAUGGUUCACCACAUCACCCACCACACCAUCACUUACCACACCACCACCAACAUGAUCAUAAAGCACCAGCACCCCAUCACCACCAACAUCAUCACCAAGCACCAACACCCCACCACCACCAACAUCAUCACCAAGCACCGGCACCCCACCACCACCAACAUCAUCACCAAGCACCAACACCCCACCACCACCCACAUCACCACCAAGCACCGCCUCCACAUCAUGCACCCUUAAAUUGAGUCAUCUUCUUAUGGAAUUCAUCAACCUCCUUUUCACAUGUAUUUUUAGUUCUUAAUAAAAUGUGAUUGUUUCUUUUCUCA